GUCAGGAAGAGGAAGAAAGAGACGGUAUAAGAGCAUUGGGAAUGAGAAUAUCGAGGAAAGCCAAGCUUGAAGGUUCCCUCCUAGCAUUGGGGUGGAAAUUUAAUUUGGAAUUUCCCGAUGCCUCUCAUUCCUAUUGUUCUUAAGCCCUACUUUCUCUUCCUUUUGGCU
rnacentral:pre_miRNA from 1 species